rnacentral:tRNA from 1 species
UACGAUAUAGCUCAGAGGCACAGUGCCUGCCUGGCAAGCAUGAGGUCCUGAGUUCAAUCCUCGGUAGCAAAA